rnacentral:rRNA from 1 species
GAAUGUGACAAUCUCCUAGACCAAGGGGAGAGGACACGCGGCGGGCUCGAGGAGGAGGAGGGUGAGUCCACGCGGCGGUCGGGAGAAGGAGGGAGGGAAAGACGACGCGGCGCCCGGGAGUGGGAUUGAAGUCGAGUGCGGCGCCCCGGAGAGGGAGCGAGGUUUAGGACGCGUCGGCCGGGAGAGGGAGUGACGUGUAGAACGCGGUGGCCUGGAGAGGGAGCUAGAUAGAGGACGCGGCGGCGAAAGGAAAGAACGACGGAGAGGACGCGACAGCCGCACAAGCUAGAUGCACGUGCCGAAUAAGUAGAGUGGGAGAGAGCUAGACGUCCUAUGUUCUCCUUCUUCCGUCCCAGAUCCACGAUGAGGCCGCGCCGCCGUCUAGCUUCGUUUGGGAGGAGAGGAGUUCUACCAGUUCUUCUACUUGUUUUCUUUUUACUACCAAUCUCCUCGGCGACAAAAACAGUGUGAACGACGUUACCGUCAGUAACAAGCUCGAAAUUAUUCCUUCUCUUCUGGUGCAUAAUGUAUACCGGGUUACGUACUUUCUCUAUCCUAGUCUAAACUAAUAGAUUUGGUUUUUUUAACCGUUUCGCUACACAACACAUUUUUGUACAAUUCCAAACUUUCUCGACGUAAGUUUUAUGUUUACUUUACGACGACUUUAAAACUUAAAAACAAUAAGAUAAAAAAAGACGUUACUAUCAACCAAGAAGUUGGUUUGUGUGGGAUUCUCAGGAGAAAAAAUAAAGCGACUCGUAGUGCGAUCGGCUUCCCACCUCGAUACAUUCCCCGUUGGACCCGGCACCGGGCGGGUAGCGACCUUUGGUUUAAAUCGAUCCGGGUCAGGUGUGGUCGACUGGUCGUAUCGCGCGUUGUGCGUCAUCGGGCGUAGGUCCUUGAGUGCCGUGCCUGUUGUUUGUGACAAAAGAGAUCGCCGGCGGCGGGCGGCGGCCUAGCAGUGUGUCCCGUGUCGUCGGUCGGCGGGGGGCGAGGGCGACCGGUCGCCGUGUUUAGCCGGCGGCGGGUGCCUGCUGAUCGGGUGGCCGUCGGUCGUCGCGCUGCUGCCGCUCAGCCGGCUGGGUGUCAUCACUUCUACACCGCCGCCGGCGUUCAACAGGACACAGCGCAGAGCGACCGCUUGGACAGAGGUCGUCGUACCUGACCACCACCCCGCUCGAUGGUACCGAGGAGCAGUCUCCCCCCCUUCCCUUUCCGCCGCGGAAACGUCCGUGCACCCUACCACCUAUCCAAAGCCGAUGAACGGUCCCCACCGCUGCCACCGUUACCGACGUAGUCGGUUUCCGCGAGGUCCAGGCUGGCUGUUCCGUCCGGGCUACCACCGCUACCUCCCUGUCCACCAUUACAGUAAGAACUCACGAGUUCUAGACAGACCCUAAAGUCAUUGAACGUUGUAGUGUGCUUUCGUCAGGCUCCUCCGUUACCUGAAAGAUUCUUUGUCUAUCCCUGUUCUCCAGGACUGUUCCAACGUGUUCAUGGUCAACCGUGUCACUAAGUAGAUCAGGCUCCCCUCGCUGGCAGAAAGUGAAAUUUAUUUGGUUGGUCUAGAGAUCUAGGGACCCUAUAGGGUCUACGACACCUACUGAGACGUCUGUCAAGGUUAGUCUUCUUGUUCCUACCGUAAUUACCUUUACUUCGACUUUCUCUUUCAUCGUUAGUCGCCCUCUUCGUUUGUAUGGGAUCAUGUACGAGGUUCUGACCCAAAAGCUUGCGACUUCUACCACUACGUUUAUCGUAAGUUGUAGUCCAGCUCAAACUACUUUUACUAGUCAAACUACUGCUGCUACUUCUUAAAACCCUCCUACUUCUGCUCUGCCUCCUUCUCCGAGAUCUACGUCUACUCCUAUCCCUUCUUCUACUGUAUGUCAUAAGACAACGACUUUACUGUUCUGGACCCGUUGCCAACUAGCAUCGUGUUCCUCCCCUCCCACCCGAUCCCUUACGAAGAUAGCCGUCUCUGCAGGCAGAUAGGUUUCCUUUAUCUGUUCUCCUCCAUCGGGCAAAUUCAUGACCUGUCCGUCCUUGUCUCAGAAAAGAACAGAAUCUUGACUUCUCGUAACGACUACAACCGGAACAACCAAACGGAUUACGGCCUUUCUCGUGUGAAGACUCACGAGAGAGAUCCCGAGCGGGUCUCUAGCGACUGAUACGCAAGUGGUGUGAUUCCGGGUUAUAACCAUCGGACUGGAUGCUGCUGAUGAACAGUCACUUUCAACGACUGUAUGGACCAGAAUAGUUUCCACGGGUACUCUUGGCACCGGACCCGGUACGGAAGAACUCCGUGUAACUCGCGUGGUUUCAAGACAGGAUACAUGAACUGGACCGUCGUUGUGAGUUGCCAUCCUUCCCAUAGGGUGGUACCCUCGUCGAUGCGCUAGACCAGCACCUCGAUCUCGUAAUGGUUCUUCCGUACUGUUUCGCGGGUAGCAACUAACAGCGUUUGUUUUAUCUACUUCUCCCUCGACUUCGUUACAUACUUCUUGACUUCUCCUCUCACGUUCCACAAGGCUAUAAAGGUCACACACGGUAGAACGUUCUCCCUUAUGGACUAGACUCUCAACCGGACUCUCUGGAAUACCUACGGAGCCUAGGCGUUCCACAGCUAAACUCGUUUUAAUAACAUCCGAUUUUUCCGAAACGGGGAGCAACCUCUUCUUAACAAGAGGCUAAGAAAGGGGAACUCGUGACAGACGAACGUCUACGUGACAUCUAGGCACAACGUUUUUAACGAGAUUAAAAGACACAACGUCUUAUCUAGUAGGUAACAAAAUCUUUUAAGUCACAUUAUUAUUGCUUCCCAUUGGUCAUACAUACGAAACCAGAAAGUAUCCUUGUCGUUACGCAUGAUGGUUUUUCCAAGUAAGUUCACGAUAAAGAUCACAGGAUUUAUAAUGCCAUUGUAAAAAA